rnacentral:rRNA from 1 species
ACUCGAGUGGCGAACGGGUGAGUAACACGUGGGUAAUCUGCCCUGCACUCUGGGAUAAGCCUGGGAAACUGGGUCUAAUACUGGAUAUGACCUUUCUCCUUAUGGGGUUUGGUGGAAAGUUUUUCGGUGUAGGAUGAGCCCGCGGCCUAUCAGCUUGUUGGUGGGGUGAUGGCCUACUAAGGCGACGACGGGUAGCCGGCCUGAGAGGGUGAUCGGCCACAUUGGGACUGAGAUACGGCCAAG